rnacentral:misc_RNA from 1 species
UCUUCCCUUUUUUUUUUUUUAAUUUUAAAGAAACGCGUUUCCAACAUCCGAAACACAUUAAAUCUCCAAAUUUCAUGAAACGGGCUCGAAACGCCUCCACUCCGUGUCUCGCCGUUUUCAAGUCGAAAAUCUUUCCAAAACAUGGAAACGUCGAGCAUUGUCGUUUCCGUGCAUCAUUAUAUAUAUAUAUAGGUAAAUAUUAUACAAUUAAAAAAAUAGUUAAAAGGUAUAUUAUAUAAUAUAUUGUGCAUUAAUAAUCAACUUUAAAGUUAAAAUGCUAAUUCAUAUGUAUAACUUUUCAUAUAAAAAGUUGCAUAAAAUUAUUUUUAAAAAUCAAGGAUUAAACUGGAACCAUACUUAACCAAAUCAAAACUGAAAACUAAAAUAUCCAAGAACCAAAGCAGAAUUGUACCGAAAUUUUGAUUCAAUUUCAAUUUCUAGACAGAUUCUGAACUAGA